UACGAAGGGGGCUAGCGUUGCUCGGAAUUACUGGGCGUAAAGCGUGCGCAGGCGGUUCUAUAAGACAGAUGUGAAAUCCCCGGGCUCAACCUGGGAACUGCAUUUGUGACUGUAGAGCUGGAGUACGGCAGAGGGGGAUGGAAUUCCGCGUGUAGCAGUGAAAUGCGUAGAUAUGCGGAAGAACACCGAUGGCGAAGGCAAUCCCCUGGGCCUGUACUGACGCUCAUGCACGAAAGCGUGGGGAGCAAACAGG
rnacentral:rRNA from 1 species